rnacentral:rRNA from 1 species
GAUCAUGGCUCAGGAUGAACGCUAGCGGCAGGCUUAACACAUGCAAGUCGAGGGGCAGCGGGAUGUAGCAAUACAUUGCCGGCGACCGGCGGAUGGGUGCGUAACGCGUAUGCAACCUACCUUAUACAGGGGAAUAACCUUUCGAAAGGGAGACUAACACCCCAUAGUAUUGAUUUAAGGCAUCUUAGAUUAAUUAAAUAUUUAUAGGUAUAAGAUGGGCAUGCGUAUGAUUAGCUAAUUGGUAAGGUAACGGCUUACCAAGGCGACGAUCAUUAGGGGUUCUGAGAGGAAGGUCCCCCACACUGGUACUGAGACACGGACCAGACUCCUACGGGAGGCAGCAGUGAGGAAUAUUGGUCAAUGGGCGCAAGCCUGAACCAGCCAUGCCGCGUGCAGGAAAGACGGCCUUAUGGGUUGUAAACUGCUUUUACAUAAGACUAACCGUAUAUUUGCGAAUAUACCUGAAUGUAUUAUGAGAAUAAGGAUCGGCUAACUCCGUGCCAGCAGCCGC